AGCGAACGCUGGCGGCAGGCCUAACACAUGCAAGUCGAACGAAGUCUUCGGACUUAGUGGCGGACGGGUGAGUAACACGUGGGAACGUGCCUUUAGGUUCGGAAUAACUCAGGGAAACUUGUGCUAAUACCGAAUGUGCCCUUCGGGGGAAAGAUUUAUCGCCUUUAGAGCGACCCGCGUCUGAUUAGCUAGUUGGUGAGGUAAUGGCUCACCAAGGCUACGAUCAGUAGCUGGUCUGAGAGGAUGACCAGCCACAUUGGGACUGGGACACGGCCCAAACUCCUACGGGAGGCAGCAGUGGGGAAUCUUGCGCAAUGGGCGAAAGCCUGACGCAGCCAUGCCGCGUGGAUGAUGAAGGUCUUAGGAUUGUAAAAUCCUUUCACCGGUGAAGAUAAUGACUGUAGCCGGAGAAGAAGCCCCGGCUAACUUCGUGCCAGCAGCCGCGGUAAAAC
rnacentral:rRNA from 1 species